AAGACUAUAGACCUGCGGAGUACCUGCGGAAGGAUCAUUAAAGAGUUGCAAGACUCCCAAACCAUUGUGAACGUUACCCACACCGUUGCUUCGGCGGGCGGCCCGGGCCCUGCCCGGCGCCCCCCGGCCCCUCGCGGGCGCCCGCCGGAGGUAAACCAAACUCUUGAAUUGUAUGGCCUCUCUGAGUCUUCUGUACUGAAUAAGUCAAAACUUUCAACAAUGGAUCUCUAGAUCGGAAGA
rnacentral:misc_RNA from 1 species